rnacentral:rRNA from 1 species
UACGUAGGUGGCAAGCGUUGUCCGGAUUUACUGGGUGUAAAGGGCGCGUAGGCGGGCAUGUAAGUCAGACGUGAAAUACCGGGGCUCAACCCCGGGACUGCGUUUGAAACUGCAAGUCUUGAGUGCCGGAGAGGAAAGCGGAAUUCCUAGUGUAGCGGUGAAAUGCGUAGAUAUUAGGAGGAACACCAGUGGCGAAGGCGGCUUUCUGGACGGUAACUGACGCUGAGGCGCGAAAGCGUGGGGAGCAA